rnacentral:lncRNA from 1 species
ACUUCAUCAUUCUCUUCAUCCUUGCCCUUCAUAGUAACUCCUUUGUCCUUUUUCUCCUUUUCCUUCUCUACUUUCUUCUUCUUCUCCUCUUCUUUACUUUUAUCUCCUUCUUCUUCUUUGUCCUUCUUCUUCUUUUCCUUCUCUCCUGUUUUUUUCUUCUUCUCUUCUUUACUAUCAUCUUCUCCUCCUUUCUCCUUUUUCUUCUUCUCCUUCUCUUCUGUCUUCUUCUUCUUCUCUUCUUUGCCACCAUCUUCUUCUCCUCCUUUGUCCUUUUUCUCCUUUUUCUUCUCUCCUUUCUUCUUCUUCUCUUCAUUACCAUCAUCUUCUUCUUCUCCUUUGUCCUUUUUCUUAUUUUCCUUCUCAUCUUUCUUCUUCUUCUUCUUCUUCUCUUCUUUAUUUUCAUCUUCUUUUUCUUCUUCCUUCUCAACCUCCUUCUUCACUUUCUUAUCUUCCACUACAUCAGAACCUUUGCCCUUCUCCUUAUCUUUCUUACCUUUUUCCUGUUUCUUUUCCUUUUUUUCAAAAUCUUCAUCUUCCUCAGCUUCUUUUUUCUUUCCUUUCUUUUCUUUCACUCCAUCAUUCUCCCCAGAUUUCUCAUCUUUCUUCUUAGGUUUUUUUUCAUCUUUUUUCUCUUUCUUCUCAUCGUUCUUUUCCUUCUUCUUGUUCACUUCUGUUUCCUUUUCUGCUCCAUCCUCAUCUUUGUGCUUCUUUUUGGAUUCCUU